UACGUAGGGGCCGAGCGUUGUCCGGAUUCAUUGGGCGUAAAGAGCGUGUAGGCGGCCGCUUAAGUCCUGCGUGAAAUCUCGGAGCUCAACUCCGAGCGGUCGUGGGAAACUGGGCGGCUAGAGUGCGGGAGAGGAGAGUGGAAUUCCUGGUGUAGCGGUGAAAUGCGCAGAUAUCAGGAAGAACACCCGUGGCGAAAGCGGCUCUCUGGAACGGUACUGACGCUGAGACGCGAAAGCGUGGGGAGCGAACAGG
rnacentral:rRNA from 1 species